CUGGACAUGUGGAGACAAGCUGGGAAGUUAUAUAGUGCAGGUGAGAGAUGAUCAGAGCUUGAACUUGGGCGGAAGAUGAGUUAAAUAAUUAAUAUUUAGGUCUAAGGCUUAGGUCUUUUUCCUUAUGAUUUAAAAUUAUAAACCUGAAUGCGGAUACUGGAAAAUGACCAUUUAAAUAACUUUUAGAAGGAUAUGUAUGGUCUUUUAAGUUCCUGUAGCCUAGGAUUUCCAAUGUUGUAUUAAUCUUUAUAUACAUAGGAUAAAAUUUUACCAUUAUCAUAAAAGUCAAAAUCAUUAUUUUCACCAAAUAAAGCUGUAUUGUUUCAGCAUUGACAUUACUGAAGUGAUAUACUUUGAUCAGCAUUUGCUGAUUACAUAAUAUUCCUAUAAUUGGUUUCAAGGCAUUUUCUUAUAUUUAUCUCCUGAAAUAUAAAAGCUCAUUAGGAAAUGUAUAUUUAGAUAUUCAAGAAGAUUAAUUUAUAAAGCUAAAAGUAAACAUAAUAACUAAUUGAAAUGCUUAAUAGAGCAUCAAAAAGAAUUAAAUUCUGGUAGUGUCAAACAAAAUAUUUUCUUGAUCUUAUUCUUGUGGUUUAUUUAGUGAAAAGUGCAGGUACUAUCUGUAGAAUAAAACUAAUGAUUGGAAAUAAGAAACUCAGUAACUUUUAAUUUUUUUAGCUGUGGUCCUAUAGGUGUAUACGCACCGUUAACUGGCCUCAAAACUUGUUUUAAUUUUCAUUUGACAUUCAAAAGCAUAAGCUGUACUAUUUUUAAAAUUCUUUAAGAAUAAUUCUAGCUAGCCAAGUUUUAUAGUUAGAUAAUUUGGAGAAUGGCCUCUUAGAAGAAUUAAGGAAACAGUCGUCUUCAGUAUUCCUCAUUAGCUAUAUAUAAAUAGCUUUCUAAUUGGAAUAUAUUAUUUAUGGUAAUUUACUAGUGUUUUGAAUCAUUUAUAAAGGAAAAUGCAGGGCAAACUGAUUUUUUUGUUGUUGUUAUUCGUUUGUUCUGGAACCAUCUUUUACCAGAUAUACCUGUGACUAUAAAAAAGGAUGGUUUUUCAUUUAUAUACAAUGUAUUAAAAAUAAAAUCUGGAGUUCCCAUCAUGGUUCAGCAGAAACGAAUCCAACUAGGAACUAUGAGGUUGUGGGAUUGAUCCCUGGCCUUACUCAGUGGGGUAAGGUUCCGGCAUUGCUGUGAUCUGUGGUUUAGGUCACAGAUGCCACUUGGAUUUGGCAUUGCUGUGGCUCUGGCAUAGGCCAGCAGCUACAGCUCCGAUUUGACCCCUAGCCUGGGAACCUCCAUAUGCCAUGAGUGCAGCCCUAAAAAGGGACAAAAAGACAAAAUAAAUAAAUAAAUAAAACCAGUUGAUUAACCAUUAAUAGCAAUAGGAUGUGAAGUCACUUACUGAUAGGCACACCAACACUGUCAAAAAAUAAUUUGUUUAUAUAUAUAUAUAUACACACACACAUAUAUAUUUUUUCUUCUUCCUUUUUUUUUUUUGGCUGCACCCAUGGUACAUGGGAGUUCCUAGGUCAGGGAUUGAAUCUGAGCCGCAGCUAUGACCUGUGCCACAGCUGUGGCAACACCAGAUCCUUAAUCCACUGUGCCACAGUGGGGAACUCCAAUUUGAUUUUAUAUUAAAUUUGCCCACAUAAAAUAUUGACAACUUUAAAAGCCACAAGAGUGAGGAAACUCAGGGGCAAGACUAUAUAUGUUAGAAUUUAGAAAUUUAAUUUAAAAGUACAAAUUUUAUGUUCUCUAGAAUUUUUAGUAAAUAAAUAUCUAUGGAAAAGAUAGCUUAUUUUGUUUACCUUAUGUCCUGGUUACUGCUGUUCUAAUUGUACAGUGAAGGUGCUAAAUAAUACAGUUAUGCAGCAGGCUUAAGAAACUACAGCUGAACUUGAAAGCUCAAGUGCAUUCUUGGAAUGUAGGCCAAGGAAAGAAAAGUCACUCCUACGAAUAAAUUUUAUAGUUCUAUUCAGGUUUGUGAAAAGAAGAUAGAAAAGUUUCCAAGUAUUAACACAAAGUGAGAUAUGAUAUGGACGUUCUUAUUUUUAUAAUUAGUUCAAUGAGACUUCCAUUUGAAAGUGUCAGACUGAAUACAAGCAUAUCCUUCUAUUCUACUUUCAAUUGCCACUAAAAUAAAAACAGUCAGAUUUUUCAAAUGCCAUAA
ensembl:lncRNA